rnacentral:lncRNA from 1 species
UGAUGCUUCACACAUGCAGAGGGCACCAACAUUCCUCUGUCAAAGUUCUGAUUCACAAAGUAAAUUUUUACCAUUUUGAAGAUGUCAGUAGCUAUAGGAGUUUACAUAAGGGACCAACAAAAUCAGACUUUAAAAAAAAUAUUUCUGGUGCAUAAAUAAUAAGGGGGGGGGACAAAACAAGAGCUAACAGAAUCAAGAGAUAUCAGGGAUUCGUAGAGUUGCAUGUUGAAAGGAAAUGGCCCUACUGUGAGCUUAUUUAUGAAUACUUCAAUAUAUUGGAAGAAAUGGCAGCAAUUUGGGGGUUGGUAACAUAAUUUGACAGGAAAACAGCUUCAGUUUUCUACAUCUACCACAAGCCCCAAAUCAGCCUGACCGUUUCCAGGGCACAUCUCCUUGGCUUGGCAACAACGGUAGCAAUAACAACAGGUAAUAACGAAUGAUCAUACAUAUUGAACUGUGUUAACAUAUCAGUAGACGUUAGAGCAUUACUUUGCCAUUCUAUGUGACAAAUGUGUGUAUUAACAGGGCUCUUCAACACUCAAGUAGUCUUGACUCAAUACUCAAUAGUAAGGCAAUUUCUAAAUCUCAGUAUAUUGACAUUUUGGGCCAGAGAAUUCAUUGCUGCGGGGACUGUCCUGUGCAUUGUAGGAUGUUUAGCAGCAUCCCUGGCCUUACCCAUUAGAUGCCAGUAGCACUCCCACAGUGGUGACAACCAAAAAUGUCUCCAGACAUUGCCAAAUGUCCCUGAAGUGUCUUCCUGCUCUAAAGGAGUGACUCUAGUGGUGAGAAGUUAGAAACAUUGGCAUACUAAACUGAAGAUACUUUUGAGUGGACAGGACUUUUACUGUAUCUAAUUAGUUGAGGUAGGUAGUUCUUCACUUUGCUUAUAAAUCAAACCAACUCUGCCCCAAUUCCAGGUAACAGCUAUUGAUUGAGUACCUAUUGUAGACAGGAAACAUAACUUGCAUAGUCAGUAUACCUAGAGAUUAAGCACUUGGCUCUGGUGUCAGGCGCCUGGGUUGGAAUUCUGGCUCUAUUUGUUUGCGGUCUGACCUGGGAUAAUUUCCUUUACCUCUCUGCCAUUGUUUCUUCAUCUGUAAAAUAAAAUGACAUAGUGUAUGUGAAAUUACAUAGAAGUGUUUGAGAAUUCAAUGAAUCAAUGCACACAAGGCGCUUUGAACUGAGCCUAGGGUGUGGAAAACAGUAGAUAUUUACUGCUAUUCUUAAUCAUUACAACAGCUCUGAAACUUAGGUAACAUUAUCUAUGCUUUAUGCACUUGGAAGGGAAUAUUCAGAGAAAUCACGUGCAAAAUCACACAGCUGCUAAGUCACUUGGCUGGCAAGAAGAGAAGUCACGAAUCAAACUCUAAGACGACUGUUUCUCCCUACAGCCAGGCCCGAGUGGAAGACAGGCUAAACCCAGGUUAAACCUGGGAGGAAGAGUUCUCUUUCAGGGAUAAAAACUGGAACUUGUCCCCUUGGCUUGUUGCGUUCGCAGCGAGUAAUGGAAAGACUCACUGAACAGGAGCCGGAAAAACCGCUUUACCGCUGACCAGCUGUGAGAACUUGGGCGAGUCUCUCGAACAUCCUGAAGCUGUUUACUCAUCUGCAAAAUGGACGCAAAAACACCUGCUCUGCGUUCUUCACGGGCGGUGGUCAGAGUGAUGUGAGAAAAAGCAUGCAGCAGAGCACUGGAAAACUAUAACGUGCCCAACCAAUGUUGAGGUUGGGAAGGUAACGCUCUCGGCAGGUCAGGGAAAUUUUGAGCAUUUUUCUAGGCUGGGAGAAGGAUCCAUCCAGUGGCUAGAGAUUGAAGACAGGAAGAGAAAGAAGGACUGAGUCUGCUCUCAAGAGGCCUCAUUCCCAUGGGAGAUGGAAAGACAAUGGUCCUGCUGGGUUGAUGGACUGAAGAAAGAACAAGGCUUCACUUUACCUUCCCAGCUUCCUUAUCGGCUUCCCAGGAAUGACGCACAUUCUCUGUCUCAUCCUCCUCAAAAGGAGAAGCCCUUUUUCAUAUAGAAGAAGAAAAAAGAUAAAUUACUGAUUUUUAUUUAACUAUUUCUAUCAAAAUUAAAUAUGCACAUAGUUUAAAGAAUCGAAUGGUUCUACAUUACUAAAUAGCAGCCCCCUGCCCCCACGCCAUUUCUCACUCCUCAGAGGAGAUCACUUCCAAUGCUCUAACUAAUCCUUUUUGUUCUUUUGGAAUCACUGUAUCUCUAAACAGCGACUUCCUAAUUUUAUCUAAUCCCUUUCUACUGUGGAAAAUGGGGAUUUAGCUUUCACCCCUUCCGUUACCACACACAUACAUUUCCUGGGCUUAUAUACCUAUAUCAUUAUUAGAUUAAUACUCAGUGUUUAC